rnacentral:piRNA from 1 species
UGAUAGAUGGAAAUAAUUCUAUUUCUGG